CAGGAUUAGAUACCCUGGUAGUCCACGCCGUAAACGAUGUCGACUUGGAGGUUGUGCCCUUGAGGCGUGGCUUCCGGAGCUAACGCGUUAAGUCGACCGCCUGGGGAGUACGGCCGCAAGGUUAAAACUCAAAUGAAUUGACGGGGGCCCGCACAAGCGGUGGAGCAUGUGGUUUAAUUCGAUGCAACGCGAAGAACCUUACCUGGUCUUGACAUCCACAGAAGUUUUCAGAGAUGGGAAGGUGCCUUCGGGAACUGUGAGACAGGUGCUGCAUGGCUGUCGUCAGCUCGUGUUGUGAAAUGUUGGGUUAAGUCCCGCAACGAGCGCAACCCUUAUCCUUUGUUGCCAGCGGUCCGGCCGGGAACUCAAAGGAGACUGCCAGUGAUAAACUGGAGGAAGGUGGGGAUGACGUCAAGUCAUCAUGGCCCUUACGACCAGGGCUACACACGUGCUACAAUGGCGCAUACAAAGAGAAGCGACCUCGCGAGAGCAAGCGGACCUCAUAAAGUGCGUCGUAGUCCGGAUUGGAGUCUGCAACUCGACUCCAUGAAGUCGGAAUCGCUAGUAAUCGUGGAUCAGAAUGCCACGGUGAAUACGUUCCCGGGCCUUGUACACACCGCCCGUCACACCAUGGGAGUGGGUUGCAAAAGAAGUAGGUAGCUUAACCUUCGGGAGGGCGCUUACCACUUUGUGAUUCAUGACUGGGGUGAAGUCGUAACAAGGUAACC
rnacentral:rRNA from 1 species